UACGGAGGGAGCUAGCGUUGUUCGGAAUUACUGGGCGUAAAGCGCACGUAGGCGGCUCGCUCAGUCAGGGGUGAAAUCCCAGAGCUCAACUCUGGAACUGCCUUUGAUACUGUCGAUCUGGAGUAUGGAAGAGGUGAGUGGAAUUCCGAGUGUAGAGGUGAAAUUCGUAGAUAUUCGGAGGAACACCAGUGGCGAAGGCGACUCACUGGUCCAUUACUGACGCUGAGGUGCGAAAGCGUGGGGAGCAAACAGG
rnacentral:rRNA from 1 species